GACGAACGCUGGCGGCGUGCCUAAUACAUGCAAGUCGAGCGGGCCUCCGGAGGUGCUUGCACCUCCGGAAGGCCAGCGGCGGACGGGUGAGUAACACGUGGGCAACCUGCCUUUGAGGCCGGGAUAACACCGGGAAACCGGUGCUAAUACCGGAUACGUCCUCUUUCGCGCCUGCGAGAGGGGAGAAAGACGGUCUUUAAGGCCGUCGCUCAAAGAGGGGCCCGCGGCGCAUUAGCUUGUUGGUGGGGUAAGGGCCUACCAAGGCGACGAUGCGUUGCCGACCUGAGAGGGUGAUCGGGCACACUGGGACUGAGACACGGCCCAGACUCCUGCGGGAGGCAGCAGUAGGGAAUCAUCCGCAAUGGGCGAAAGCCUGACGGUGCAACGCCGCGUGAGUGAGGAAGGUUUUCGGAUCGUAAAGCUCUGUUGUGAGGGAAGAACAGCUUCCGGAGGAAAUGCCGGAGGUUUGCCGGUACCUCACCAGAAAGCCCCGGCUAACUACGUGCCAGCCGCCGCGGUAA
rnacentral:rRNA from 1 species